UACGUAGGGUGCAAGCGUUGUCCGGAAUUAUUGGGCGUAAAGAGCUCGUAGGCGGUCUGUCGCGUCUGCUGUGAAAACUCAGGGCUUAACCCUGAGCUUGCAGUGGGUACGGGGCAGACUAGAGUGCGGUAGGGGGAGACUGGAAUUCCUGGUGUAGCGGUGAAAUGCGCAGAUAUCAGGAGGAACACCGGUUGGCGAAGGCGGUUC
rnacentral:rRNA from 1 species